UUCCCUCAGUAACGGCGAGUGAAGCGGGAAGAGCUCAAAUUUAAAAUCUGGCUUACUUGUAAGUCCGAGUUGUAGUCUGAAGAAACGUUUUCCAUAAGCACUGAGGCACAAGUCCCUUGGAACAGGGCAUCAUAGAGGGUGAGAAUCCCGUCCAUGGUCUCAAGUUGCUUAUUUUGUGAUACGUUUUCAAAGAGUCAGGUUGUUUGGGAAUGCAGCCUAAAAUGGGUGGUAAAUUUCAUCUAAAGCUAAAUAUUGGCGAGAGACCGAUAGCGAACAAGUACCGUGAGGGAAAGAUGAAAAGAACUUUGAAAAGAGAGUUAAACAGUACGUGAAAUUGUUGAAAGGGAACCGUUUGAAGCCAGUCUUACUUGCUCGUGAUCAGUUUGUGCCUCGGCAUGAAUGCACUCUCGGGUAUGGUAGGCCAACGACAGUUUAGAAUGCGAGAAAAAAAUUUGGGAAAUGUGGCCUUCGGGUGUUAUAGUCCCUUAUGAAAUAUCGUGUUCUGGACUGAGGAUCGCAGUAAAAAUGUGGGCAGGUAGAUUUCUGUGGUGAAUGAUUAUUAGGACAACUUGUUGACCUAGUUUUCAUGAGCCUCACUGUUUGUCUUGCUUCUAAUUUGCUUAGGUCGUUGGCAUAAUGGCUUUAAAUGACCCGUCUUGAAACACGGACCAAGGAGUCUAACAUAUAUGCGAGUAUUUGGGUGACAAACCCAUAUGCGCAAUGAAAGUGAAAUUAGGUGCCAAACCUUCACGGGUGGCAGCAUCGGCCGGCUCUGACGUUUUAACUGACGAGUCUGAGCAGAAGCAUACAUGUUGGGACCCGAAAGAUGGUGAACUAUGCCUGAAUAGGGUGAAGCCAGAGGAAACUCUUGGUGGAGGCUCGUAG
rnacentral:rRNA from 1 species